rnacentral:rRNA from 1 species
UACAGGGGGUGCAAACGUUGCUCGGAAUCAUUGGGCGUAAAGCGCACGUAGGCGGUUCGUUAUGUCGGAUGUGAAAGCCCUUGGCUUAACCGAGGAAGUGCAUCCGAAACUGGCGAGCUAGAGUACUAAAGAGGAUCGCGGAAUUCCCGGUGUAGAGGUGAAAUUCGUAGAUAUUGGGAAGAACACCGGUGGCGAAGGCGGCCAUCUGGACCGGCACUGACGCUGAGGCGCGAAAGCGUGGGGAGCAAACAGG